AGUGAACGCUGGCGGUAGGCCUAACACAUGCAAGUCGAACGGCAGCACAGUAAGAGCUUGCUCUUACGGGUGGCGAGUGGCGGACGGGUGAGGAAUACAUCGGAAUCUACUUUUUCGUGGGGGAUAACGUAGGGAAACUUACGCUAAUACCGCAUACGACCUACGGGUGAAAGCAGGGGAUCUUCGGACCUUGCGCGAUUGAAUGAGCCGAUGUCGGAUUAGCUAGUUGGCGGGGUAAAGGCCCACCAAGGCGACGAUCCGUAGCUGGUCUGAGAGGAUGACCGGCACACCGGAAAUGGGAACCCGGUCCAACCUCCUAGGGGGGGCAGCAGUGGGGAAUUUUGGACAAGGGGCGAAAGCCUAAUCCACCCAUACCGGGGGGGUGAAAAAGGCCUUCGGGUUGUAAAGCCCUUUUUUUGGGAAAAAAAAGCAGCAGGUUAAUACCCCGCUGUUUUGACGGUACCCAAAAAAAAAGCACCGGCUAACUUCGU
rnacentral:rRNA from 1 species